rnacentral:tRNA from 1 species
GGCUACGUAGCUCAGUUGGUUAGAGCUACAUCACUCAUAAUGAUGGGGUCACAGGUUCGAAUCCCGUCGUAGCCACCA